CACCGCCGUCCUCUCCCCAGCCUUCUCCCACGUGCUCUGCUGCACUGGCGAGUCCAGAGCGGUGGCUGUGUCCGUCUCCUGCGGCAGCCUUGCCAGCAGAUGCAGUGGUGGGGAUCGCAGCAGAGACGCAGCGAGCGGAGGGCGCUGCA